ACCCUCCUGGCGCAAGAGACUACGUGUUGGAGUUCUAAUUCAAAGGUUGUGGGUUCGAGUCCCACCGGGGGUG
rnacentral:tRNA from 1 species